CUUAGAGGAUGACUGAUUUCUUUUGGUGUUCAGAGUCAAUACAAUUUUCUAGCACCAUCUGAAAUCGGUUAUAAUGAUGGGG